rnacentral:rRNA from 1 species
AAGGUAGCGAAAUUCCUUGUCGGGUAAGUUCCGACCUGCACGAAUGGCGUAACGACUUCCCCACUGUCUCGACCAGGAGCUCGGCGAAAUUGCAGUACGAGUAAAGAUGCUCGUUAAGCGCAGAAGGACGAAAAGACCCCGGGACCUUUACUAUACCUUGGUAUUGGCGUUAGGCGCGGAUUGUGUAGCAUAGGCGGGAGGCUUCGAAGCGGGUGCGCCAGCAUUCGUGGAGCCGCAAGGUGAAAUACCGCUCUGUUCUCGUUUGACGUCUCACCUCGAACAGUCAUCCUGUUCAGGGACAGUGCCUGGCGGGUAGUUUAACUGGGGCGGUUGCCUCCCAAAGAGUAACGGAGGCGCUCAAAGGUCCGCUCAGCCCGGUUGGCAAUCGGGUGUCGAGUGUAAUCGCACAAGCGGGCUUGACUGCGAGGACGACGGUCCGAGCAGGGACGAAAGUCGGAGAUAGUGAUCCGGUGCCGGCGCACGGGCGCGGCAUCGCUCAACGGAUAAAAGGUACCCCGGGGAUAACAGGCUGAUCAUUCCCAAGAGUCCAUAUCGACGGGAUGGUUUGGCACCUCGAUGUCGGCUCGUCGCAUCCUGGGGCUGGAGCAGGUCCCAAGGGUUCGGCUGUUCGCCGAUUAAAGCGGCACGCGAGCUGGGUUCAGAACGUCGUGAGACAGUUUGGUCUCUAUCCUCUGCGCUCGUUGGAAUCCUGAGGAGGCCUGCCCAUAGUACGAGAGGACCUGGGUGGACGGACCUCUGGUAUGCCGGUUGUCGCGCCAGCGGCAUGGCCGGUUGGCUACGUUCGGGAGGGAUAACCGCUGAAAGCAUCUAAGCGGGAAGCCUGCUCCAAGAUUAGGAUUCCUUGACGCUCCUCGGAGCGUUUGUAGCCCGCAUGUUGAACACGUGUUCGAUAGGCCGGAGGUGGAAGUCCCGCGAGGGAUGGAGCCGACCGGUACUAACGGGCGAACGCGGCACAC